AUACUUUCCUGGCAGGGGACAUACCAUGAUCACGAAGGUGGUUUUCCAAGGGCGAGGCUUUGUGCUGACCCCUGCGAUUUCCCCAAAUGCGGGAAACUUGGAGUGGGGGACUGCAUUCGCGCUCUCCCCUG
rnacentral:snRNA from 1 species